rnacentral:sRNA from 1 species
UAUUUUAUGCGACGUGCUUGCGUGCCUG